AGGCAUGCAAAGAAUCUGCAGGGGAGUUGUAAGUGGGUGGGGGUGGUGAAGAAUCUAAAAGAGUCUGUAACGAGAUACUGAAGCUUUCCAGGAGUGAGUGUGUGUGCGAGCGAGGGAGACAGACAGCCAGAGGAAGAAAGGGGGCAGUGUGGUCUAGUACAUUUCAUCUGGUCGUUGAUUCGAGCCUGAUGCUUGCUGUCCCUCAACAGCCUCCCUUGCCUGAUUUUUUUCUUCUCCCCCCCCCUCUCCUUUUGCCUUCUACUUCGCCGAAGCCUAGGGGAGCCAGUAAAGAUUAAAUGUGCUUUCUAAAAGGCAGCCACUUCAUGCAGCUAUGUCUGCUUCCCCUCACUACCACCGCCACUAACCCCCCUUUUAAAUAAAAUAAGAGCGAGACCGAGGAGGAGGAGGAGGAGGAAUAUAGUUUAAUGAUGCCGGGACUGGCUGAUCCAGAUGGAAAAACGGAGAAAAGAGCCGAGAUCCCGGGCGAGGAAGACCCUGGUGAAUGGUCGGAGACUCCAGAGGCUGGAACCUUCCCCACUUCCAAAUGGUGAGGAAAGCUGUUUCGUGGAUGGAGCGGAGGUUGCACUGGAUGAGAGUCAGAUGGAGUUUUACUGAAUCCAGCCGCCGCUGUCAGCACAAUAAAACACCUCUUGAAAACCAAAAACUUUUUGGUUUGUUUUCUUUCUGCAUAAUAGUUAGGGUGGGUUUAUUUAUUUAUUUCCCCCCUCCCCCAGCUGUAGUGAAAAUUUGAAGACUGCUUUUAGUAAACUUAAAACACUAUAGCAUGAUGUGAGCUUAUCUGAAGUUCAAAGGAGAUGGGAGGUGAUAGUGGUGCCCUGGAGCAUGUCUGAAAUUAAAAUGUCAUGUGAGUUAAGGGUGUCAGAAUUUUGAUCUGAGUAUAGUACAAUUUAUCUCAAUUAAGUGUUUUCACAAUCAGGGUCUUAAGAAUUGAUCCAUUGAAUUUUGCUGCAGGAAGGACUUCGGAAUUUGGCCCAUUAAUAAUAUUUCAGAUUCACAUAGCAUUUCCAAUCUAACCGGAUGUCAAAGCACUUUAAUAAAAUGAAAUAUUUUUUUAAUAUGAGCA
rnacentral:lncRNA from 1 species